CUUAGUCUCAGUUCGGAUUGUAGGCUGAAACUCGCCUACAUGAAGCUGGAGUUGCUAGUAAUCGCGAAUCAGCAUGUCGCGGUGAAUACGUUCCCGGGCCUUGUACACACCGCCCGUCACACCAUGAGAGUUGGCAAUACCCAACGUACGUGAUCUAACCCGCAAGGGAGGAAGCGUCCUAAGGUAGGGUCAGCGAUUGGGGUGAAGUCGUAACAAGGUAAC
rnacentral:rRNA from 1 species